CUUCAUUGUUCAGCGCCUGAGGUACUGAGAACAGGUUACAAAUGAUAGCUCAUCAUCAAAACUCUCCCAAUACGUGCUGCAAAUGGCGGGCAUCGGAAAUGAUGGAUUAUGAACAGUUUACCAAAGAAGCUACAGCGCCAUCUUGUGUUCACGAAAGUGACUUGAACACUCCUGACUUCAUGAUUAUGACUUGUCAACAAAUGUAAGUACAGAUGUUCUAGUAAGACUUGAAUGCAGCAUUACUUUGUGCCUAAUGAGAAUAACACAUUAAAUGUACCGUUGAGGAACACCAGGAGCAGUUUCAGCUUUCAGAAGAAAAUAUUGUCCAAUCACCCUCCCUGCUCUCCAGUAACUCAGUGAUCUUUAACACGAGUAUAGAGGAAGAAAAGAAAAGGGAAGCUUCUGCUGGUGAUGAUGAUGAUGGUUCGACUGAUCAAGACAGCCCGAAACACCACCAUAAUUGAUCAGUUUAAUGUAAUUGUAAUUGUGAUUACAUUCUCUGCCUCCAAUAUGUCAUUAUGUAAUAUUAUUAAUGCAUCAUGUAAACACUAUAAACAUUAGAGAAAUAAAGCAAAUAUAAUUAGACAGAAAGGAUGCUCAGUAUCUCCUCUUUCAAAGCUGAUUUAAUUGUAUAUUGUGAAGUUACUAAAGGAUCUACAAGUUAAAAAGCAGCUAGAAAUAAUAAAAAGGUAAACUACUCCUUUCUAUUGUAGUUACUAAUGUAUAUCCUCAUUGUUAUUUAUUAUUAUUGAUUAUUAGUGUUCAUAAUCUGUUUCUGUGUCAUAAUGUGGAUGUGCUAACUGGAAUAUUUUGUUUUGGGUUCUGAUUGUUUAAUGUUUGGUACAUACACAAUAUUAAAUUAGUGAAAGCAUUGAUGGAAGGACUGUGUUUGUUGGACUGGACUUCACUAGAACUAUGUUAAGCUGCUU
rnacentral:lncRNA from 1 species